rnacentral:sRNA from 1 species
AAAAAAAAAAAAAAAAAAAAAACUAGAAGUUUCAAGAGUAUAUUUGGCUUAACCGGAUUGGUCAUCCUGGUUUAAUGAUGAUGCGAAAGUAUUGAGAAUUAUGUGGACAUUAGGUGAAAAACCAGAAGAUUCUUCCUAAUGAUUUAUCAAUUGUUACUUGCUGAGAAAACAAUAUGAUAAUGUGAUUUUUAUACCAGUCAAAAUAAUUUUGACUUUAUCUAUUCGUAAGCAUAUGCAAGGAGAUGAUUAUGGGUUGAUCACCUACUGUAUGACAUUUAGAUACCUAAUGGCUAUAAAAGAUGCAUCGAUUCAAUGGACGCAUUGACUCGAUUGUUGCAUCGACUAGAAGGUCAUAUUUAUCCUUGUUAUAAACCCGCAACAUAGAGUUUGCGAGGUUACUUUCUUGAUUAAAGUACAAGAGUAUUUCAGUGUUUAUUUAUUAUAACCAUUAUUGGAUAUCCGUUGGGAUAAGUGUUUAACAUUUUGAAAUUCAUGUUCAUACACAAAAUGGUUUAGUAACAUCGAUACGCAUCAAGCCAAUGAAUAAUUAAUAGUUUCCCCCAUUAUUGUUGGUUUUGGGUCAGAAACCAAAUAGUUUUCAUCUAAAAUCUUUGAAUGUGAUAAGUGCUCCACCACAGCACGUUGAGAUGAACCCUCGAAGGAGGAUAAGAAUACAUGUUGGAUAUGAAUGAUAACUAAGCCAUCCUAGAAGGAUUUAUAUACCGUUUUGAAGACUAUCAUAUUAUAUAGUCAGCUAUUCCAACAUAAGGGGGAGAAUGUAUACAACUGGUGAAAAAGAUAAAUAGAAAUGAAUUAUCAAUGAUCCUCGGAGUAAAGAAUGUAUAUUAAGAGUCCAAAAGAUAAUUCAAUUACAGAAUUUAGCGUUGUAAUUGCCAGACGCAUUUGCUGACCCAAAUAAAGUGAUGAAGUCACCUAUACCAGUUGUAAAUUAAAUGCUCCAGAAUAUAAUGAAUGUCCUGUAAGGACCAAUUUCAAACUGCUAUUGAGUCUUAAGAUCGCAUAAAGCGUAAUAGACCCUGGUUCCAAAUAUAAAUAUCCUCGUAAAAGUGAAGGAGCACAAAAUUAAAAAUGACCAAAUUGAGGAAAUAAAUAUUUUGAUGAUCUCUUGAAAAGAGUGAAUGAUCUCUAAAAGAGACAUAAACAUGACAAAUGAAACAUUUAAGUACUUGACAAUGAAGAGAUCUAGCUAGCUAUGUCAUGUCAAAAUAUAAUGGAAUCAAAUGCAAAUCGACGUCGUAAUAUAUUUGCAUGCUAUGAGCAGUUGAUAUUAUGGACAAAAAGGAGGAUUAUGAAAGAAAGUCUAUUGAAAAGUGUACACAAAGUAAUGAUUAGCCAAAAAUGGAAAAGAAGAAAUAGACAUAUAAUUAUAAUCUCUAGUAGAGAUAUUUGGACUAGUAGUCUAUGCACAUGAUGUGUAAAACCAUAAAAACAUCAUUGGAAGAUAAAUGAGUCUUUAUGUGAAAGAAUAGUGAAAUUAAUGAGAUUUUCACAAAGAUAAGAAAUU